rnacentral:rRNA from 1 species
UACAGGGGGUGCAAACGUUUGCUCGGAAUCAUUGGGCGUAAAAGCGCACGUAGGCGGUCUGUUAUGUCGGAUGUGAAAGCCCUUGGCUUAACUGAGGAAGUGCAUCCGAAACUGCAGGCUAGAGUACUAAAGAGGGUCGCGGAAUUCCCGGUGUAGAGGUGAAAUCGUUAGAUAUCGGGAGGAACACCGGUGGCGAAGGCGGCGACCUGGGUAGA